AAUAAGCCUCAGCAAAAGCCGCCCCUGCUCUGUGUGUACAACAGCAGUGGCUCCCAGAGGGGCAGCUCUCCACUCAGAAAGAACUCCCCCUGUGAGGCCAGUCGAUGGAGUGUUUUCUGGGCACGUUUUCUCAUUGAAUCCUGAGUAUGGCUCUGUAAGCUACUGCCAAUAGCUCUUGUUGCCACCAGCAACCUUAUCCAAAAGAGAACAUUUCCGGCCCAGCAUUCCAAGCAGGAGUCCUGAGACCCACUCUGCCUGGAUUGCAUCACAUGCCCACCUGAACUCUUACGCUCUGCCAAAGGAUACAACUUUGGGCCCACCAGCCGAUGCGAGAUGCCUGCUUUCCAUAGACCAUUGUGUUGUGAACUCCAAUCCCUAUGAUCAUCCCUUAUUCCAGAUCCCAUGAAUGAUCCUGCUUCCCUGAUCAAUCCCUGGUAUGAUGGUAAAUAAAACUGCCACUUCUUGUAAGCCGACCACGGGCGCAUGCAUUAUUAUUCUUCACAACAUCCACAUAGGACUGUGAGAAUUUCUGAGAAUUACUGACUGAGACUAUUGACGCUAUUUUACACUUUUUAUAUUAGGGUUCCAGAUAAGUGAAACCAAUAGGAGAUAUAUAGAGACAGAUAGACAAAUGGAUUCAUUAUGAGAAAUUUGCUCAUGUUAUUAUGGAGACUAAGUAGUCCCACAAUCUACCCUUUGCAGGCUGGAGACCCAGGAAAGCCAGUGGUGUAAUUCCAAUCUGAAUCUGAAGGCCUGAGAACCAGCCAGCCGAAGGCAAGAGUCAUAGAGAGUCGUGCCUCCUCCAAGGGCAGGAGAAGACCAAUGCUCCAGUUCAGCAGUCAGGCUAAGAAGUGAAUUCCCCCUUCUACUGCCCUUUUGUUCUACAGGCUCUCAAGGCAUUGGAUGAGGUCUGCUGACAUUGGGGAGGGCAACAGGCAUUCUACCCAUCCUUAUCCAGAAACACCCCCAAAGAUACUCCCUGAAAUGAUGUUUAAUCAAAUAUCUGGGCCAGCCAGGUUGACACAUAAAAUUAACCACCACACUUGGCUAAACCCAAACCAAAGAGGUUAAAUACUGUGUCCUAGUAACUCGCAGAACUAGAAUUCAAACUCUGGUGUAUCUCACUCUUGUGCCUGAACUCCUGUCACUCACUGGCUCUGAAACCCGUCAGGAGCAUUAUCCCAUUAAUUAUAAAAGGCUGCAAAUGUGACGUAUACUCAUUAGGAAUAGGAAAGACUCUUAGACUUAUCAGUUUAAAAUGUUUAAGA